UCGAUGGGAUCUCUCCCUCGUCUUCUCUUUCUCACUCUCGGUGGUCUCGAUGGAUGAUUGUCGGCUACUUGUGGUCGGAUUGUGGUCGGAUUUCAGAAAGAACAGAGCGGCGAAGAAGAGUUAUGAGACAAACGUACCAGCCCAUGGUAGAGAUUGCGACGUCUUGGAGGCUGACUUUCAGAAGUUCAAGAACAAGUAAUCAAAGUUUAAGGAGGAGGAUGAUCGUCGCGCGACGUCAAGCCUUCCCCUUUCCAGCUAAAACUUCCUUUGCCCAUGACGAAGGCUGCUUAGAAGAACGGGAAGGCGACCUCUAGAAAGUCGCGGGAAUGGAGGAGAAAGCGGUGGACCGGAGGGCCGAUGAUGGCGCAAGACGGCUUUAUUUGUUUGGUGUCUCUUUUAAUCUUUUAUGUAUUUAUUUACUCGAUACUCAUAAGAAGAUGAUCUACUUCUUCUUUUUUUGACUAUUUAAUUAAAGUCUGCAGCACGGGCCGAGUUAUUUA